AAUUUGAUCUGGUUCAGGAUGAACGCUAGCGACAGGCUUAACACAUGCAAGUCGAGGGGCAGCAUAAAAGUAGCAAUACUUUGGUGGCGACCGGCGCACGGGUGAGUAACGCGUAUGCAACCUACCUAUCAGAGGGGAAUAACCCGGCGAAAGUCGGACUAAUACCGCAUAAAACAGAGGCACCGCAUGGUGAUAUUUGUUAAAGAAAUUCGCUGAUAGAUGGGCAUGCGUUCCAUUAGGUAGUUGGUGAGGUAACGGCUCACCAAGCCGACGAUGGAUAGGGGAACUGAGAGGUUGGUCCCCCACACUGGUACUGAGACACGGACCAGACUCCUACGGGAGGCAGCAGUGAGGAAUAUUGGUCAAUGGGCGGGAGCCUGAACCAGCCAAGUCGCGUGAAAGGAAGAAGGAUCUAUGGUUCGUAAACUUCUUUUGCAGGGGAAUAAAGUGCAGGACGUGUCCUGUUUUGUAUGUACCCUGAGAGUAAGGAUCGGCUAACUCCGUGCCAGCAGCCGC
rnacentral:rRNA from 1 species